UGUUUCGGCUAGGGGGCCAUCCCGGCUUACCAACCCGAUGCAAACUGCGAAUACCGGAGAAUGUUAUCACGGGAGACACACGGCGGGUGCUAACGUCCGUCGUGAAGAGGGAAACAACCCAGACCGCCAGCUAAGGUCCCAAAGUCAUGGUUAAGUGGGAAACGAUGUGGGAAGGCCCAGACAGCCAGGAUGUUGGCUUAGAAGCAGCCAUCAUUUAAAGAAAGCGUAAUAGCUCACUGGUCGAGUCGGCCUGCGCGGAAGAUGUAACGGGGCUAAACCAUGCACCGAAGCUGCGGCAGCGACGCUGAUGCGUUGUUGGGUAGGGGAGCGUUCUGUAAGCCUGCGAAGGUGGCCUGUGAGGGUUGCUGGAGGUAUCAGAAGUGCGAA
rnacentral:rRNA from 1 species